rnacentral:rRNA from 1 species
GACGAACGCUGGCGGCGUGCUUAACACAUGCAAGUCGAACGGAAAGGCCCUGCUCUUGUGGGGUGCUCGAGUGGCGAACGGGUGAGUAACACGUGAGUAACCUGCCCUUGACUUUGGGUUAACUUCAGGAAACUGGGGCUAAUACCGGAUAGGAGCUCCUGCUGCAUGGUGGGGGUUGGAAAGUUUCGGCGGUUGGGGAUGGACUCGCGGCUUAUCAGCUUGUUGGUGGGGUAGUGGCUUACCAAGGCUUUGACGGGUAGCCGGCCUGAGAGGGUGACCGGCCACAUUGGGACUGAGAUACGGCCCAGACUCCUACGGGAGGCAGCAGUGGGGAAUAUUGCACAAUGGGCGGAAGCCUGAUGCAGCAACGCCGCGUGCGGGAUGACGGCCUUCGGGUUGUAAACCGCUUUCGCCUGUGACGAAGCGUGAGUGACGGUAAUGGGUAAAGAAGCACCGGCUAACUACGUG